CGUCCGUAGCCGGUUUGGUACAUUCGUGGGUAAAUCAACCAGCUUAACUGGUUGAAUUCUGCGAGGACGGCCAGACUUGGGACCGGGAGAGGUGUGGGGUACUCUCAGGGUAGGGGUAAAAUCCUGUCAUCCUGAGAGGACCACCUGUUGCGAAGGCGCCACACUAGAACGGAUCCGACGGUCAGGGACGAAGCCUAGGGGCACGAACCGGAUUAGAUACCCGGGUAGUCCUAGGUGUAAACGCUGUGGACUUGAUGUUGGGGGUGCUCCGAGCGCUCUCAGUGCCGAAGCGAAGGUGAUAAGUCCACUGCCUGGGAAGUACGGUCGCAAGGCUGAAACUUAAAGGAAUUGGCGGGGGAG
rnacentral:rRNA from 1 species